GGAGAGGUGCUCGAGUGGCUGAAGAGGCACGCCUGGAAAGCGUGUAUACCCCUAAAGGGUAUCGCGGGUUCGAAUCCCGCUCUCUCCGCCA
rnacentral:tRNA from 1 species